GACGAACCGAGCGAACGUUGUUCGGAAUCACUGGGCUUAAAGGGCGCGUAGGCGGGCCGCCGCGUCCGGGGUGAAAUCCUCCCGCUCAACGGGAGAACGGCCUCGGAUACUGGGUGCCUCGAGGGUGGUAGGGGUAUGCGGAACUAUCGGUGGAGCGGUGAAAUGCGUUGAUAUCAUCAGGAAUACCGGAGGCGAAGGCGGCUCACUGGGGGUUAUCUGACGCUGAGGAACGAAAGCCAGGGGAGCGAACGGG
rnacentral:rRNA from 1 species